rnacentral:other from 1 species
AAAUGCCUGCGGUGUUGGUGAACUUCGAGUAUAAUUCGAACCGAACACCAAUUCACUAUGGGAGCUCAAUAUUAUAGCACGUACAACAAGCCUUAUAAUAGUAUUUAUUUACUAUUUUGGAAGUUAGAAAUGCUUUUGCGGGCACCCACCUGCUUAAGGGCGGGUUCGUGAUAUCUGGAAGAUAACCGCAUCUGCGGGCGACAU